CCCUUAGAUGUUCUGGGCCGCACGCGCGCUACACUGAAUGGAUCAACGUGUUUUCCCUUCCCGAGAGGGACGGGUAACCCGCUGAACCCCAUUCGUGGUAGGGAUCGGAGCUUGCAAUUGUUCUCCGUGAACCAGGAAUUCCCAGUAAGCGCAAGUCAUAAGCUUGCGUUGAUUACGUCCCUGCCCUUUGUACACACCGCCCGUCGCUACUACCGAUUGAACGUUUUAGUGAGGUAUUUGGACUGGACCUUCGGAGGUUCGCACCUCCGUUGCUGUUCGGGAAGACUCCCAAACUUGAGCGUUUAGAGGAAGUAAAANUCGUAACA
rnacentral:rRNA from 1 species